GCAUAUCAAUAAGCGGAGGAAAAGAAACUAACAAGGAUUCCCCUAGUAACUGCGAGUGAAGCGGGAAAAGCUCAAAUUUAAAAUCUGGCGGUCUCUGGCCGUCCGAGUUGUAGUCUGGAGAAGUGCUUUCCGCGCUGGACCGUGUAUAAGUCUCUUGGAACAGAGCGUCAUAGAGGGUGAGAAUCCCGUCUUUGACACGGACUACCAGUGCUUUGUGAUGCGCUCUCAAAGAGUCGAGUUGUUUGGGAAUGCAGCUCAAAAUGGGUGGUGAAUUCCAUCUAAAGCUAAAUAUUGGCGAGAGACCGAUAGCGAACAAGUACCGUGAGGGAAAGAUGAAAAGCACUUUGGAAAGAGAGUUAAACAGUACGUGAAAUUGCUGAAAGGGAAACGCUUGAAGUCAGUCGCGUUGUCCGGAACUCAGCCUUGCUUUUGCUUGGUGCACUUUCCGGAUGACGGGUCAGCAUCGAUUUUGACCGUCGGAAAAGGGCUGGAGUAAUGUGGCACCUCCGGGUGUGUUAUAGACUCUGGUCGCAUACGGCGGUUGGGAUCGAGGAACGCAGCGCGCCGCAAGGCAGGGGUUCGCCCACUUUCGCGCUUAGGAUGCUGGCAUAAUGGCUUUAAACGACCCGUCUUGAAACACGGACCAAGGAGUCUAACAUACCUGCAAGUGUUUGGGUGGUAAACCCGAGCGCGUAAUGAAAGUGAAAGUUGAGAUCCCUGUCGUGGGGAGCAUCGACGCCCGGACCAGACGUUCUCUGACGGAUCCGCGGUAGAGCAUGUAUGUUGGGACCCGAAAGAUGGUGAACUAUGCCUGAAUAGGGUGAAGCCAGAGGAAACUCUGGNGNANNCUCGUAGCGAUUCUGACGUGCAAAUCGAUCGUCAAAUUUGGGUAUAGGGGCGAAAGACUAAUCGAACCA
rnacentral:rRNA from 1 species